GCUAAGGCUAUGGCUCCCGCAUUGGCGUGCUCUCUCGGCAAUGCGCCAGGAUCACUAGGUCAGGGUUUUUCUUCCAGGAGGAGCGGCCGAUUCGCCGCUACCGCCGCUACCGCCGCGGCCGACUCGAAUCCAUCGCUGCAUUCUUCUUCUCUGUUCGCGGGGUUUGAUUUCGGGACGUCCGGCGCGCGCGUUGUGGUGAUCGACAAGGAAGGGGAGAUUCUUGCGGAGAGGAAGCGGCAGUAUCCAGCAGGCUGAGAAUCCCGCGGCUGCCAGCGGAUGGAAGGCGACGCUGUUUGCGCUGCUGGAAGAAAUUCCGGUGGACUUCCGCGCUCGCGUUGGCUCGAUUUGUCUGGAUGGGACUUCUGUGACCACGAUGAUCGUCGACAGAAACACGGGUGAAUUGUUGUCCCGUCCAGUUCUAUAUAACGAGAGCUGUUCCCAGAGUCUACCAUUCGUCCACCAGAUUGCUCCUGCCAACCACACUGUUCUCACUGGAACUUCCACUCUCUGCAAAAUGGUCGCAUGGUGGCAGCGAGCCGAGAAAGAGCAAAGGAAGAACGCGAUUUUGAUGCACCAGGCGGACUGGAGAAAUUUCCAGGUGGGUAGAGCAUGGAACCCCACCCUUGGACUGGGAUGAGGAAAGAAGAGGUAAAAAUCAAUUUUCAUUCCCUCUAGCUUGUCCAACAAGCAUCGGCACACUUGGGCAUGCCAUGGCAGUCAGCUCCAUGGCCUCGGCCAUGUCUGGUGCCAGCCAGCUCCGGGGCUUUGACCAUGUCCUGUAGCACCAGCCUGCUCUGCCAGCCAGCUCUAAGGCCGAGUGCUACCCAGCUCCAAAGCCGAAUGCUAAGGCGUCUCUGCCAUGGCCAGCCAAGCCAAGGCCAUGUCCCAAGGCAAGAGCAGGGAGUUCAGAAAAAUGUUCCUUAUCUUUCUAUAAAAUAGAAGAAAUUAAAAGGAACAAAAAUUAUUUA